UAAUGAAUAUGUUAUCAAAAAGUUAAAUUGAUUUCUGCUAUAUAAAUGUGUUCGAAUAAAAAUUCCCAAUUUCAUUACUGAACAAAACAGCCAACUAAGUAAACGUGUUUUUCAAAAUUUUCAAAUCGAAAAAUCAGUUUUUAACCAUUAAAAUUAUGUUUUAAAUUUCGUACUUGAUAAUUUAAUACUUUUAAUAUCUUGCAAGUUUUAUUUUCUUAGCCCAGAUUACUUAGGUAAGGCUGAGUGAGAGUGGUCCUUCGAUGUUCCUGAGAUUUGCAAAACAAGGUUAAAAACAAUAUAUACUUUGCAAACCAGUUUUGUUUGGAGAUUUGGAUUUACUAUUAACAAUCUAACGCAACAAUAAAAUAAUUGCAUUGUGUCCUAUUCCAACCAUAAAAGAAAUCAAAAUGUAUUCCGUCACCAGAACGAAUCGAUGCACACAAAUAAAUUGAGGAGAUACCUGAAUUUCAACGAGGUCUUGAUACGAUUGGAGGUGAUCAUCUGCUUCGCCAACUUACACAACGCUGGAUUAAUUAGUUUAAACUCAUAAAAGAAAUAAUAACUACCAAAUAAAAAAUUAAAUAUUUUUCAAUGCAAACAUCACAUAUUAGAAUUAUAACGAUUAUUUUGUGAAUAUUUAAUUUCUUUAAAUAAUACCAUUCAACUUGAAUACUA